rnacentral:lncRNA from 1 species
CUGACACUCAAGUCCACUGCACACUCCGCCUCGUUACAGAAAGCAUUGCCAAGGAAGUCACUGAAGAAAUCACCCGUCUGGGCCUGGCGCGGUGGCUCACUCCUACAAUCCUAGCACUUUGGGAGGCCGAGGAGGGUGGAUCAUGAGGUCAAGAGAUCGAGACCAUCCUGGCCAACAUGGUGAAACCCCGUCUCUACUAAAAAUACAAAAAUUAGCUGGGGGUGGUGGCGCAUGCCUGUAGUCCCAGCUACUUGGGAGGCUGAGGCAGGAGAAUCGCUUGAACCCAGGAAGCAGAGGUUGCAGUGAGGUGAGAUUGCACCACUGCACUCCAGCUUGGCGACAGAGUGAGACUGCCUCAAAGAAAGGAAAAAAAAAAGAAAGAAAGAAAUCAAGAAAUCAUCCAUCUGCUUUGGAUACGCGGCCCUUCAGGAAAAUUCCUUAACUGUUCAAUAUUCACUGAGUGCCUACUGAGUGCAUUGUUCCAUGUGCUGGGGGACAGCCAUCACAGGGAAAGCUGGAGCUGAUGGGCUGUUCUGCACUCACCUAUUAGUGGAGAACAGACUUUCAUGUGUUAUUUAAUUCCCAGAGUAUCAGGAAACAAAAGGUAAUUUUUGUUUGUUUGUUUUUACUAUGAUGCUCUUGGCAUUAGCCACAGGCAGAUGGAAUGGAGAUGUGUGAGUCAGUGCCGGGGACUUACUCUUCCAUGAAUGCUCAAGGAUGGUAUGAAAUAGGGCAGAACAAUCCCAUUUUUUUCUUCUUAUGUAUGUGUGAUCAAAUUAUCUCAUUUUAUUUAUUUUUUUGUUUUCUUUGGACUUUCUUGUUGACACAAAAAUAAAUAGGAAUGGAUAAAGGCAUAAACAAAU